GCAAAUCAGAAGAGUGUGUUUCUUUCAAAAUUAGAACGAUACAGAGAAGAUUAGCAUGGCGCCUGUGCAAGGAUGACAAAAAAAAAAAAAAGAACAUUUCCCAAAGUCC
rnacentral:snRNA from 1 species